GGCGAGGGUGAGAGGUUUAUACAGGCGGUAUUACGCAACUGUACACACGUCGGGUUACACGACGAAAGGAGAGUGUCCUGCGGAUAUUCGUGCAACCAAAGUUUACGCACGUUUUUACACUAUUUAUGAAACGUGAACGUUCACCUUUCGAAGAUUGGGAAUAAUAAAAAGGAAGGAAGAACUCAUCAUCGCGGUCGAGGUGUGUUUUUCUUACAGGUUUUAGAACACCAUGCGUCGGUUGCUUAGGCUCGCAACGGUCAGGUGAGGAGAGUAAUGAAAAGGGGGCGGCAAAGAGGGAGAGAAAGGAAGGAAUCGGUGAGGUAUAGAAGAGGGGGAUAAGGAAAGAGAAAGAGGCGGUUGGACACGAUGCCGGAGGAUCGCGAGAAGGUCGUCCCCCUUCAGCCUUCGAAGACACACAGGAUCUUCCACGGCAUGUACCUGGAUUGUUUAUGUCCGCGGUGGACAUCGGUAGACGACGAGAAUUCAAGAGGAGCCUGCUCCUUGUUUAGAUGGGUCAACGGUCCGAGAAACUGCCGGUUGCCCGAGGAAAAAUCUUGGAUCACAAGGAUGCGGAGGAUUUAUCGUUAACGCGAGCCUCGGUACCGUUAACACCGAUCCGAUUUCCCGAUCCUGGAAGCUGAAUGGGUAAGGAAGCCAGCGUUGUUCGCUCUGUAACGUGGAUGUUCUACUGGCUCCUCGGUUCGGUGUUUCGAAACCCGACACCGUUCGGAAUAUGUACUUGCAUUCCGGACAGGAAGAUUAACAUCCGAUCAUUAUUGAUUUAUUAACUGUUUACGUAAGACAAAUUUAGUCAUCAUUUUUUACAUUAUUUAUGUCCGCUUUUCUAUGGAGGUUAAGGGGAGGUCAGAAGCUUUCACAAGCUAAAACCGUAGGCUAAGUUAAGUUAGCUUGUGUAUACAUGCUGGUUUUGACCGAAGGAAGGCUUUAAGUUUCCGUUACGCCACUGUGUAAUUUCGCUGAUUUACGAUCCUCUCUCGAGACUAUCGUCCCUGCGUUCGAUCAUCUGGAGAACAAAAGGAUCCGCGACCGGUCGCCGUACGACUACAAGGGGAAAACGGGCAAGAAAGCCUGUUAAAGCGGUUGCGUGAAAUUGUAGAUAUGUAUGUAGGUUUAUGGUAACAGACGUUGGAGUGAAAUAGAAGAGGAUGCCAGAUGACAGACAAGAUGAGAUCUGUUUGUGACUCGCAGAUGCACGUAAUACGGGUUUCAUCGCAUUUGACGGAUGACUAAUGCCGAACCGCGGCAGCGAGCAACGCUUGGCCGAGCCUGCGAUGUCGUUAACAGCUCGGCUUGGCCUUGGUCAGGAAUAGUUAACGGGCUGAGGAUUUUUUAUAGAUUCCGUAUCUACUUCCUGCUAUCCGCAUUGUGACUCCUGCGUGCGGUUUGUCAUUGUCUCUGUAAGCUUUAUCUACCGGUCGCGAUAGAUCCAUGAUUGUCUUAGAAUUUUUCUAGAGUAAUUGCAGACCUUGAUGUGAUUCUUUUUUAAUUGAAACUUAACAGUAUCGCUAUCAAAUUUGAUUAAGGAUUAAAUACCAUAACCCUUCCUCUGAACAAGUACGACACGCAAUAUCGUACACGCCACUGUACCAGUGGACUGUACGGAGCAAACGUCUACCGUUUCGCAAGCGGCAUGUCAACGUUUAUCGAUUUAACGUAUAUAAAACAACGUUUCGAAGGUUCGUGUCGCAAAUAGUUCAAAGCGGCAGCCGUCGGAUUUACUUACGUUAAGUAAUAUUACUUAUUGCUGCACUUGCCAAUUACUUGCAUUAAGUAAUCGUAAGAGAUUCCUCCUCGUGUGCACCGGCUUCUGAUCGUGCCGACACAGAGACACGCGGUAAUUAUGCGUUUACGAGGACGAUCGUACCCACCACUUUCGCCUCUCUAAUUACGACGGAAGAUAAUCUUUAAACGAAGGGAUUAGAAUCUAAUGGGACGAGCAGGGAAAUUCAUUCGAGCAGUUGAUUGUUAAUCAACCACCGUUCACGUAUCCAUCUGUCUGAUCCGGAGAUAUAGGAAAAUCAUUGUUUACAUCCUCGUACGUUGGACUGCAAUACAUUAUUCCACGUUUGGGUUUUCAGAAUGAUACGGACAAGAAUGAUUAUUUGAGGGUGAGCUUGACACCCCAAAAAUGUGGACUGAGCUCCCUUUUAAAAUUCUAAGAUUCUAAAAUUCCACGAUUCUAAGCUUCGAAAAUUCUAAGCCUUCAAACUUUUAAAAUCAUAAAACUCCAAAGUCAGCAAGGUCCGGUUUCUCAAGAACUACCACACCUCCUCGACGCCUCUGCCUACCUAUCUGCGUCCGCUAUCACUGGUAAAUGACUAUUAAAAAUUCAUCUCAACGAAUCAUCAAUUGAAUUUCUUUCACGAAGGUGAUUAUGUUCAGCAGGAUCCAGGUACCCCGAUUCCGGUCGAUCUUGGCGUCUGCGCGUCCUUUCCUUCGUCGCCCGAAGCGAUCGUCCUCUCUCUUUCUGUGCAGGUGACAGGUGAAACGACCUAUACGUGCAGGACAGCGAGGUCGUGCACCGUUCGCCGAGGAUACCUAAUUCCGGAGAAAAGGAGAGAACUGCGAUCGAGGACUCGCGAUGAGAAGCGUAGGAGAAACUGCUGCUUUUGCUUCGAACAGCGAACCGAACUAAAACUCCGUGGAAACAAUGAAAAAUGAAUCGAAUAUUUUCACCUCAACGACACGCUUUUGAAGAGAAAAAAAAAGAUUGUGAUUUAUCGGGCGAUACCAGGAAGUUUAUGUCUCUCCAGUUGGCUUUCCGAUAUAGAAAAGUGUUAAAAUCGUGAUAUAGUACCAUUUACGCUCGCUAUCAAUUCUAUCUGGUAUCUUGUACGCUGUCGCAAAUGGACCAGGGAGAAAUGCGAUUUCGUCAGCUUCUCUAUAGUCCCGAUAUUAUGUCGAUCACUUUUUUCUGUCGUUCGCUUGACAAGAUACAUAUUCAGAUAGGAGAACAUUGGGACGUCGGGACACGUUUCGUGACAAUGUUAACACGUCCCUAUUAUAUACAAAUUUGAUUAAUGCAGAAGCAACGAUGUAACCAAAUGUUAAUUAAAUAUUUCUCUAAGCGGAUCUAUGUCCACGAAAUGACCUAAUUGAGCGUGCACACGGUACCAAGGUGGCAGCUGAAUAAUUUCUCUUCACGGAGGAAGAAUUUCAAAGCCUAAACAGAAACACAGACUGGCGUUUCACGGUAAGCUCGUUCCCGGGGUAAGAGCUAUUCUCCGGUAUUUCGAUAUCGUGUUCGCGAGGCUGCUUGCGUGGGACUGGGUGGAAGAUCGCGGUGAUUAAUGGCGAUUAAACGAAGAAAGAGAGAGAGUUGACGGCACGAGACCGAGCGUGUGCAGAAACGGCUCUAAGAGCAACAGCAUCGAGCGUCGCACCCUUGCGUGGCCCGCGAAAUCACUCUACGCGGUAUGCGUAUUGUAUGGUAAUACCGCCCGUGUACCUACUCCAAUAUUUAUUCCCCGCAGUUAUAACGCGCUUUUACUCGAACCGACGCCAUCUAUCUUAUCCAGCCGUUCCGUGCUCCUCUCCUUGAUCUAUUGAUCCUAGUAUUCGUCCGCGUUGCUUGUAUCGACGAACAUCGAAUAUUUAUGCUUUAUUAUAUAUCCAGUGACACGAAACCCACGUAUCAUUGAUGAUUGUUAUUGCAUGCAUCGAGUGAGCAAGUGGAUAUUCAUAAAGUUGCACAGAUUUCCAAAAGUCAGGGGUACCUUAAGUUUGAAUCAAGUCGGGAAAAGUCAAGACUCGAUAAGAUUUAUGUGGGAGGAUACUUUUCCCUUUAUAUACGUAUUCAGUUUCCCAGUGUUAAGUGUGAUGAAAAUUCAUCAAGCUUUCCAAGACAAAAGA